AGAAAACUGGAGUGGGUUGCCUAAGAACACACAGAACUCUGCAACACAAUUCUCCAGCAGUUUGAAGUAUGUGUACUUUCCAGCCCUUUUCUCUGCCUACUACACCUUGUAAACAUGUUCUGAACAGAUGGGAGAGCGAUCCACUGCAGUUAACCCCAGACACACACAGAGAACCCAAGGUCCUACCCUGAUGAAUCUUCUGUUCUGAUGCCAUUGCAAGACAGGUGACAAGGGACCCUGGAG
rnacentral:lncRNA from 1 species